GGGCGGGGAAGUCUCUGUCCCCAUAGCUAGGUGGGUAGGGGGCACCGAGGGAGUUCGGAUUGCAGCUGGAAGGGGGAGAAGUCACUCCGGAUCUACCUACGGCGGGCGGGCUGGGCCCAGCCCAGAGUCUCUCUCUGGGCAAACACACAAGAGGGAUGAGAGAGAGAGAGAGAGAGAGAGAGAGAGAGAGAGAGAGAGAGGAGUGGUGGUGCUUCUGCAACUGAUCUCUCUCUGGGCUGCGAGGAAGGGACGCACUCAUAUCUCCUCCCCAUCCCCAUCCUGCUGGAAUAUCUACCGGGAAGCUAAAGCAUUUCUUCCUCGUUGCCUGUCAGCUGAAACCUGAAUGCAGAUGGGACCUGGAUUGCCUGCCAUAGAUGUCAGAAAGAGAGAGAGAGAGAGACCUGGUGGCAAAUAUAUCAACAACAAAAAUAAGUCAACAUGUGCUUCGGUCUUUUGCCUUCUGCAAAUACAAUCAGAGAUGAUGGGCCUGUCUUUUGCCAACACACCUGCGCUCUCGCACACAUGCAGCCGCUGGAUUAUGCCAUUGGGCUAAAGCCACAGAAAGCAACUUGUGGCAUCAUUCUUCUGCCUAAAGACAGGAGGCAAUAUGACAUAGCUCUAUUCUUAGACCCAGAGCUUAUCAGGCUUCGCCAUGAAUAUUUCCCCCCUCUACUGAUGCAAAUGAAGGGUUGUUGUUUUUUAAAAGAGUUUUGCUUGUUGCUUCACUGAUUUGCUUGCAAUGUUUAUACUGUUCAGUGUUUUCUGUUUAUAUAUUGCUGUAACCUGCCUUGUGAGGGUUAUACCUUGAAAGGUGAGAUACAUUGCAGUCUUUACACCUGGCAUGGAUAGCUUAGUUGGUGCUCCUAAUGCUAAGGUUGCAGUUCAGUCCCCAUAUGGGGCAGCUGCAUAUUCCUGCAUUGCAAGGGGUUGGACUAGAUGGUCCUCAGGGUCCCUUCCAAUGCUACAGUUCUAUGAUUCUAUGGUUCUUGGACCUCUCCCCAAACUAUACCCUCUUCCUCCAGGCCAGACAUACACCUUUGACAUUGCCACAUACCCCAAGUGUUUUUGCCUGGCUAGAAUGUGUCCUUGAAUUCUGAUGAUGUCUCUUGCUUGUCUGGUUGGGGUGGUGGUGGUAUGUGAGUAUAUGUAGAAAAUUGUCUACUGCACAAAGGUAAAAUUUUGCUCCACCCACUUUUGCUUCUGGCUCCGCCCACCACUGGAAUAUGGCCGCUAGGUAUGUGGCCCACAGCUGAAAAGGGUUCCUUAUCCUUGCUGUAGAAAUCAGUGGCCUUUCUCCAGGUAAGUGGGAAUAGGGUUGCAGCCUAAAAAUAUAUAUAAAUAAAAAUAUGUCCCUUACA